UACGUAGGGUGCGAGCGUUGAUCGGAAUUACUGGGCGUAAAGCGUGCGCAGGCGGGUUGUUAAGUCUGUUGUGAAAUCCCCGAGCUCAACUUGGGAAUUGCAAUGGAUACUGUCAGGCUGGAGUAUGGUAGAGGAAGGUGGAAUUCCCGGUGUAGCAGUGAAAUGCGUAGAGAUCGGGAGGAACACCAGUGGCGAAGGCGGCCUUCUGGACCAAUACUGACGCUCAUGCACGAAAGCGUGGGGAGCAAACAGG
rnacentral:rRNA from 1 species